rnacentral:rRNA from 1 species
AUUGAACGCUGGCGGCAGGCCUAACACAUGCAAGUCGAACGGACCCUUCGGGGUUAGUGGCGGACGGGUGAGUAACACGUGGGAACGUGCCUUUAGGUUCGGAAUAGCUCCUGGAAACGGGUGGUAAUGCCGAAUGUGCCCUUCGGGGGAAAGAUUUAUCGCCUUUAGAGCGGCCCGCGUCUGAUUAGCUAGUUGGUGAGGUAACGGCUCACCAAGGCGACGAUCAGUAGCUGGUCUGAGAGGAUGACCAGCCACACUGGGACUGAGACACGGCCCAGACUGCUACGGGGGGCAGCAGUGGGGAAUCUGGCGCAAUGGGCGAAAGCCUGACGCAGCCACGCCGCGUGAAUGAUGAAGGUCUUAGGAUUGUAAAAUUCUUUCACCGGGGACGAUAAUGACGGUACCCGGAGAAGAAGCCCCGGCUAACUUCGUGCCAGCAGCCGCCGUAA